rnacentral:rRNA from 1 species
UUUGAAGAUUACUAAGGGCGCACGGUGGAUGCCUUGGCAUCAGGAGCCGAUGAAGGACGUGGCAAUCUGCGAUAUGCCUCGGGGAGCCGAUAAGCGGGCUGUGAUCCGAGGAUUUCCGAAUGGGGAAACCCCGUCGUCUGUGAGGGCGAUGACCUGUAUCUGAAUACAUAGGGUGCAGGGGGGAACGCGGGGAAGUGAAACAUCUCAGUACCCGCAGGAAGAGAAAACAACAGUGAUUCCGUGAGUAGUGGCGAGCGAAAGCGGAAGUGGCUAAACCGUCUGUGUGUGAUACCCGGCAGGGGUUGCAUGGGCGGGGUUGUGGGAGCAUCAGUGCCCGGUCUGCCGGCUGGGUCGUGUGAGUGCAGCGUGAUAGUCGAAUCAUCUUGAGUGGUGUGCCGUAGAGGGUGUGAGUCCCGUAGACGAAAUCAUUGUUGCCGCGCGUGGUGUUUCCCGAGUAGCACGGAGCCCGUGAAACUUCGUGUGAAUCUGCCAGGACCACCUGGUAAGCCUGAAUACUACCUGAUGACCGAUAGCGGACCAGUACCGUGAGGGAAAGGUGAAAAGCACCCCGGGAGGGGAGUGAAAUAGUACCUGAAACCGUGUGCCUACAAGCCGUCGGAGCCUUUUGGGGUGACGGCGUGCCUUUUGAAGAAUGAGCCUGCGAGUUAGUGUCAUGUCGCGAGGUUAACCCGUGUGGGGUAGUCGUAGCGAAAGCGAGUCUGAAUAGGGCGUUGAGUGGCGUGAUCUAGACCCGAAGCGAAGUGAUCUACCCAUGGCCAGGUUGAAGCGCGUGUAAGAGCGCGUGGAGGACCGAACCCACUUCAGUUGAAAAUGGAGGGGAUGAGCUGUGGGUAGGGGUGAAAGGCCAAUCAAACUUCGUGAUAGCUGGUUCUCCCCGAAAUGCAUUUAGGUGCAGCGUCGUGUGUUUCUUGCCAGAGGUAGAGCUACUGGAUGGCUGAUGGGCCCCAACGGGUUACUGACGUCAACCAAACUCCGAAUGCUGGUAAGUGAGAGCACGGCAGUGAGACUGUGGGGGAUAAGCUUCAUAGUCGAAAGGGAAACAGCCCAGACCACCGACUAAGGCCCCUAAGCGUGUGCUAAGUGGGAAAGGAUGUGGAGUUGCUCAGACAACCAGGAGGUUGGCUUAGAAGCAGCCAUCCUUGAAAGAGUGCGUAAUAGCUCACUGGUCAAGUGAUUCCGCGCCGAUAAUGUAGCGGGGCUCAAGUACACCGCCGAAGUCGUGGCAAUGCACAUUUCCGUGCACCACUCGUGGCCGGGACACCUUUGGUGUUGUGGUUCGGGUGCUGUGUGGUGACUGUAAUGGUUUUGUGUGUGUUGGGUAGGGGAGCGUCGAGCGGGUGGUGAAGCUGCCGGGUGACCGAGUGGUGGAGCCUGUUCGAGUGAGAAUGCAGGCAUGAGUAGCGAAUGACGGGUGAGAAACCCGUCCGCCGAAUGAUCAAGGGUUCCGGGGUCAAGCUAAUCUGCCCCGGGUGAGUCGGGACCUAAGGCGAGGCCGACAGGCGUAGUCGAUGGACAACGGGUUGAUAUUCCCGUACCGGCGAAGAACCGUCCAUACUGAACUGGGGAUACUAACCACCGGUUCCACCCGUUUCUCAUGCGCCACUUUGUGGUGUGUGGUUGUGGUGGGAUGCGUGGGACCUGAUCCAGGGAGGUAAGCGUGUUAACAGGUGUGACGCAGGAAGGUAGCCGAGCCAGGCGAUGGUAGUCCUGGUCUAAGCGUGUAGGGCGAGUCAUUGGUAAAUCCGUGGCUCAUAUAGCUUGAGACGUGAUGGGACCCCUUUGGUGGGGGAUUCGGUGAUCCUAUGUUGCCGAGAAAAGCAUCGACGUGAGGUUCUAGCCGCCCGUACCCCAAACCGACACAGGUGAUCAGGUAGAGAAUACUAAGGCGUUCGAGAGAAUCAUGGUUAAGGAACUCGGCAAAAUGCCCCCGUAACUUCGGGAGAAGGGGGGCCCGGACCCUGACAUGCCCUUGCGGUGUGGAGGGGGUAAGGGUCGCAGAGACCAGGGGGAAGCGACUGUUUAUCAAAAACACAGGUCCGUGCGAAGUCGUAAGACGAUGUAUACGGACUGACUCCUGCCCGGUGCUGGAAGGUUAAGAGGACCUGUUAGACGCAAGUCGAAGCGGAGAAUUUAAGCCCCAGUAAACGGCGGUGGUAACUAUAACCAUCCUAAGGUAGCGAAAUUCCUUGUCGGGUAAGUUCCGACCUGCACGAAUGGAGUAACGACUUCCCCGCUGUCUCAACCAUGAACUCGGCGAAAUUGCAGUACGAGUAAAGAUGCUCGUUACGCGCAGCAGGACGGAAAGACCCCGAGACCUUUACUAUAGUUUGGUAUUGGUGUUCGGUGCGGCUUGUGUAGGAUAGGUGGGAGACUGUGAAGCGGACACGCCAGUGUUCGUGGAGUCGUUGUUGAAAUACCACUCUGGUCGCUCUGGAUAUCUAACUUCGGCCCGUGAUCCGGGUCAGGGACAGUGCCUGAUGGGUAGUUUAACUGGGGCGGUUGCCUCCUAAAGAGUAACGGAGGCGCCCAAAGGUUCCCUCAGCCUGGUUGGCAAUCAGGUGUUGAGUGCAAGUGCACAAGGGAGCUUGACUGUGAGAGUGACGGCUCGAGCAGGGACGAAAGUCGGGACUAGUGAUCCGGCGGUACAUUGUGGAAUGGCCGUCGCUCAACGGAUAAAAGGUACCUCGGGGAUAACAGGCUGAUCUUGCCCAAGAGUCCAUAUCGACGGCAUGGUUUGGCACCUCGAUGUCGGCUCGUCGCAUCCUGGGGCUGGAGUUGGUCCCAAGGGUUGGGCUGUUCGCCCAUUAAAGCGGCACGCGAGCUGGGUUCAGAACGUCGUGAGACAGUUCGGUCCCUAUCCGCUGCGCGCGUUGGAAAUUUGAGAAGGUCUGUCCUUAGUACGAGAGGACCGGGACGGACGAACCUCUGGUAUGUCAGUUGUACCGCCAGGUGCAUGGCUGAUUGGCUACGUUCGGGAGAGAUAACCGCUGAAAGCAUCUAAGCGGGAAGCUUGCUUCGAGAUGAGAUUUCCUUCCUCCUUUGUGGGGGUGAGGCUCCCAGGAGACUACUGGGUUGAUAGGCUGGAUGUGGUAGCGAGGACUGACGACUCGUGGAGCUGACCAGUACUAAUAAGCCGAUGAUCUUCACACA